UACCCUGUUGUUGUUGAUUGACCAAUAGUGACAGAAGGUCCGACGAUGCUUCCGGACCCAAUGGAGACAUUUGCACCCACAGUAGAUUCUGAAUGAACGAGUGCGCCAAUCUCUAUCCGGGCAGUUGGAUCAAUACGAGCAGAUUUAUGAAACAUGCCUCCCCCAUUGCACCAUUGCUUAUAUUCUUGAUCACAUCUCUUGAAAUCAUCAUCUAACAAUAGAAACUCAUGAUUCAUAUCUAGUGUCAAUGUAUUAAAGCAUAAUAGGUGGGAAUAAUAAAUUAUAUACAAAUACUUGCAAGCGGAAUUUUCACAAACAGUUUGAGAGCAAGAAAUUAGUAACGACUAAUUUAGACUAGUGUGAAAUAAUAACUGAGUCACCUGGGUGUCGAGUUGUGAAAUUGUUAGAUAUGGGUCUUGAGAAGAAGAAGAAGGUAGUACGGAUAUUGGGUUUGAUGAAGUUAUAGGAAGCUAAUUUAGCAAUGCGUAUUGCCAUGGCAAAUGUGAAGCCUUGUUGAUUUCGUUAUAGAAAGUAAAGCAGCUGGUUUUUUUUUCAGAAACGGCUGGAUUGUCUUUUCUCGGUUUCAUGCCGUAAUCACUCUAAUCUAAUCUAAUCUAAUCUCCAUUUGAAUUUUUUAAUUUCUUUAAUUUAUAUUUUUAUAUAUAUUAUAUAUAUAUGUCAGGCUUCCCUAUUUUGGGCCGUCCCAUUUCGUUCCUCCUUUUCUUUUUGGGCCAUUCAUCUAUAACAUCCUCCCAUUCCCUCCAAAAUUUUAAGAAUCUUUUUAAUAUUUCAAUUGUAUGGGUAAAUUACAAAACAUUCCCCUUAUAUUUAAAUAAUUAUAAGUCCUCCUAACUAUGCAUCUUCUUAAAAGAAGGUAAAUUCAUUUUUUUUUUAUAAAUACUUAGAAAACUAUUCUCCAAAAUUUUAGAAUUUCACCCCAAAUUUAACGGCGGAAAUUCCGCUAUUUCGUAUAUAAAUCUCAGGGUCCAUUUGGAUGGAGGGAUUUGAGAAGGGAUUUGAUUUGGGGAAUGGAUUUGAAAUGACUCCAAUUUUGGAGUCAUUUGAAAUCCAUCACUAUUGCUCCAAAAUCAACUAAAAAGGAGGGGUGGAUAUUUGAAAUCCAUCUCCAAAUCCCUCAAUCCAAACAAGUCCGAGGGAUUUGUUAUUAUGGAUUUGAAAUCCCUCCCCCAAAUCCCUCCAUCCAAAUGCACCCUCAUAGUUGAUUAAUUUUAGAGAUGAAAAAAGUGUAUCAAUGGUGCGAUUUUGGUAUCAAUAGUUGAUUUGAUUCUUAUAAACUUUUUAAAUGUGGUAAAACUUGCUCCAUAAAAUGUGGUAAAACUUGGUUUGCUAAGAAGUUGGUUACGAAAAGAAUAAUUUUAUUUAAUUAACUAAAUAAUAUAUAUUUAUUUAAUUAUUUAAUAUCCACCUAUAUUGCUUUUUCUUAUUUUAAUUACAUGUACCUUUACGAUAUUCUUCAUAUCCAGACCAUUUAUAACCUCCAUUUCCGGCGACCUAGUACUCGGAUCCCGCUGCCCACGAACCUAAUUGAUUCGAUCCGUCCUGAUGUGGAACACGAAGAAACCAUUUCCGACGAAAACCGGGGCCAUAACCGGUUUCCGGUCGAACCGGCAAUUUUGUCCAAUAACUCCGGUUUUCAUUUGUCUGGUUUUCGAUGUUGAACCAGACCGGGUAUGUGGUGGGUAUCGGUCGGACCGCCCGGUCCGGUCGGUUCUGACAACCAUGGUUGUGAGUCUUGUGACCUGCUCCUUCCUUUGUCCUCAUCGCUAAAGUCAGUCAAGCAAAGUACACGCUUCUUCAUAUAUAUAUAUAUAUGUAUAUAUAUAUUCUUUUUCUUUUUUCGAGCCAGCAUCAAUUAGUCAAACUGUGUGAGCAACUAUAGUUAUUAUGACAAUUUAUUCAUGUACAAGAUCACAAAAAAUGGAAAUGAGAAUCCAAUUAGUAGUCGUGAUUCUGAUAAGCCUUUCAGCAAGUUAUGUCGGAGCCCAGUCCCUAACUACCUACGCUUGUCUAAACAACGGAAACUACACAGUUAACAGCACAUACAGCACAAAUCUCAACACCCUACUCUCAUCUCUCUCCUCCAACAUCGCCGACGAUGGAUUCCACAACGACGCCUCAUUCGGCCAGAGCCCAGACAGUACCGCCAACGCUAUUGUCGUCUGCAGAGCUGACAGAACCCUCGACCAGUGCCGCACGUGCGUCCAAAGCGCUGCGGUUAGGUUAUUAGAGCUGUGCCCCAAUCAAAGGCAGGCUAUUAUAUGGUACGAUUUCUGUAUGCUGCGCUACUCAAACGACUCCAUUUACGGAACCCCGUCUUUCGAUCCAAGGUGGAUCACGCGCAAUGUUGCGAAUGUCCCGGAGAUCGGUAGCAUUGAUCGGUUAAGGGAGAAUCGGACAAGGCUGCUGCUGGACGAUCUUCAGUUCCAAGCUGUUUAUGGCAACACUGUAAUGAAGGUUGGUGCAGGGUCCAGGAGUUUUUCAGAUUCUACAACACUUUACGGGCUGGUGCAGUGCACCCCGGAUUUAUCCCCGUCGGAUUGCGCAUCUUGCUUGAUCCAGGCAGCUCGAAGCUUGAGUGAUGGUUUUGAUGCAAGGGGAAUGAGAAUACUGUUACCCAGCUGCUAUAUUCGUUAUGAGACUUAUCUCUUCUACAAUGAAACCAGGCUUCUCGAACUCCAUCUCGUACUUUUGCAGCCCACCCCAACACUUCCUGCAGGUAAGAAUGAUUGACUGUUAGAAUAAUUAUAUUGAUAAGUUAAUUAACAAGCAACUAAUCAUCAUGUAUGCAAGUCUUGCAGGAACGGGUGAUAAUACAAUUAAAAUUGCUGUGAGCGUUGUUGUUCCGAUUGUGGUGUGUCUAUUAAUCCUGGCUGCUUUUGCUGUAAUCUGCGUGAGAAAAAGAAUGAAGCGGAGGAGGCCGAAUAGAAUCCCCUUCGAGGGUAAUAAAUUAGUUUUUUUUCUAUAAUUUUGGUUUAUUGUAUUUUUCAAUUAUUGAUUACUUUUUUGUUACCUAGCUAGAUGGAUCAGAAGAUAAAGAUGAUAUUAGCAGUACUGUUGAUUCCCUGCAAUACGAUUUUGGUAAAAUUAGAGACGCAACCAAUGAUUUUGCCCCUGAAAAUGAGCUUGGGCAGGGUGGAUUCGGGGCUGUUUAUGCGGUAAUUGAGCAAUGAUGAAUAUUAGAACAAAGACAAUUAAUUACAUGCAGGUUUGGUUUAAUUUAUUCGAUUGAUUAUAUCUUGUUUUAACUUCAGGGGAAACUUCCAAAUGGUCAACAAAUAGCUGUCAAAAGAUUGUCUAGAGAUUCAGGGCAAGGCAAUUUGGAAUUCAAUAACGAAGUGUUGAUAGUGGCUAAGCUUCAGCAUAGGAAUCUGGUUAGACUAUUGGGUUUCUCCAGAGAAGGAACCGAGAGGCUUCUAAUAUAUGAAUUCGUCGAGAAUGCCAGCCUCGACAAGUUCCUCUUUGGUAACUUUGCUUUUUCUUUUUUGAGCUUUGAUAAUGAAUUAAUUAAUGUUAUUCUGAUCGCUUUCUUGAUUAUUGGAUAUGUAAUACUAGACCCGAUCAAACGUUCGGAUUUGGAUUGGGAUACACGCUACAAGAUCAUAGGGGGUAUUGCAAGGGGACUUGUGUACUUGCACGAAGAUUCUCGACUCAGGAUCAUUCACCGUGAUCUCAAAGCCAGCAAUGUGCUUUUAGAUGGAGAGAUGAACCCUAAAAUUGCAGAUUUCGGAAUGGCAAGAUUAUUCGGGCAAGGUGAAACCCUAGGAAACACAAAAAGGAUUGUCGGAACCUAGUAAGUGUCAUUUAUACUCGUAUUAAAACCCCAUUAUGACAUUAAAAGAUUUCACUUUUGAAUAAGAAUAACAAUUUCCAAUAAUUUACCUAUCUCAGUGGAUAUAUGUCACCUGAAUAUGCAAUGCAUGGACAGUUCUCCGUUAAAUCGGAUGUGUUUAGCUUCGGAGUGCUAGUCUUGGAAAUCAUCAGCGGUCAGAAAAAUACUGGUAUCGAAAAUGAGGGGAAUGUGGAGUACCUCUUGACUUUUGUAAGUAUGGAUAUGUAGCAUCAUAACUUCGAUGACUGUUAAAUUUGAAUAUGAAACUAAAGAUUUUGCAUAUUUUUCUCAGAUAUGGAGAAACUGGCAGGAAGGAAGUGUUGAAAAUAUGAUAGAUCCAGUCUUGAUGAAUGGUACGGGUUCAUUGGCCGAAAUAUUGAGAUGCAUUCACAUCGGUUUGUUGAGUGUUCAAGAAAAUGCUGCUGAUAGACCAACAAUGACUGAAGUUCUUCUAAUGCUCAAUAGCUCCACCGUAACUUUGCCACUACCUUCAAGGCCGGCGUUUUUAAUGGGCAGUCAUUUUGGUCCAAACGUGGAAUAUGAUUCCAAGAACAUUCGUCAAGGUUCAUCUGUAAAUGAUGUCACGGUGACUGAGUUACAUCCACGGUGACUAUAUAUGCAAGAAGGUGUCAUCCGUUUCUGCAAGACGUGUUUGUAUUUCGGUUAUUUUUGCUUUACAUCGAUUUUGUUUUGUUUUUCUACAUACUUGUAACCGUACGUAAUUAUAUAGUAUUAUGCAUAGGGUAUGUAGUUAAUACGCAUCCAAUCAAUUGAAUUUGUUUUGGGGGUCACAGUUGAUCAAUUGUAUUCCAGGUUUCUGUAAAAACUUCUGUGGAAUUUUAACAAACAGUUUGGGAGAGCAUGAACUUUGUAACGGCUAAUUUAUCAGGGAAAUAAUAACUGACUCACCUGGGUUUUAUGAAAUACUACUCUGCUCAGAUAGUGAUCCGAGCCAAUCAAGAAAUUUGGCAGAGGGGUAAUGGUGGAAAUCUGGAUUUCGUUAGGUUGAAAACUGGUGUUGUGUUUCGGAUUAUCAAAUGGAAGACGAAGCUUCGCCAGAUUGCGUGCGAUGAACAAUUCAGCAUUGGGAAAGUCAAUACCAAUGGUACUGUUUUAGGAGGAAAUUAUGAAGAGCAGCAAAAUUCAUCAAGAGUAAAAAUCAGAAAUUGAGGUGUUGAUACAAUUACAAUUAGACAGUGGUAGAAUCAAAAUUAAAAAAAAAAAAAUUCUUCGGGUUUAUUUUUCAGUUGAGUGUAAUGUUAGGAUGCAUCAAAAUGUAAUAUACCUGCAUCAUAGACUAUAAAUCUGCAGAACAUUCAUAAACAAGAAUAUCAUUUAGUCGGUUGUGUUUGAAAAUUUGUUUUUCCCUCCUAAAUUAAAUCUAUAUUCUGAUGUUCUAACUAAUGUGGAGGAACUAAUACGGCAGCAAAGAGCAAAGAGAGUAACCUUUAUUCUGUACAGCUUUGACAAAAGAAUCACCGACUUCUCUUAUCAGCAGAUUUCAUCUUUCUAUGGUACCAAAAGUCCUUUGAAGUUUGGCGUACACUAACGACUUGCUUUUGCCAUUCAUGAAUAGGAAUCUGCAUUGACAAUAUGAAGAAAGUUUUCUAACCUUAAAAACUUAUAAUACUAUAAAUUGUGUAAAGAAAGUCGAUUAAAAUGGAUCGAGAAAAAUAAAUUUGAAAAUUGAAGUAAAUUCUUACAGCAGGGAAGCCUCCAUAAUCCCCUGCUUCAGUAAUAUUCUUUGUGACGCAGCUAUUAGCCGCUAAUCUGACCUGCAUUUCCAGAUUCAGUUUUAGCAUAUUUUCUUAACAAAUGACGGCCCUGUUGUUGUUGAUUGACCAAUAGUGACAGAAGGUCCGACGAUGCUUCCGGACCCAAUGGAGACAUUUGCACCCACAGUAGAUUCUGAAUGAACGAGUGCGCCAAUCUCUAUCCGGGCAGUUGGAUCAAUACGAGCAGAUUUAUGAAACAUGCCUCCCCCAUUGCACCAUUGCUGAUAUUCUUGAUCACAUCUCUUGAAAUCAUCAUCUAACAAGAAUAACAAGAACACAAAUCUCAACACCAAUGAAAUGGCAGAC
rnacentral:lncRNA from 1 species